rnacentral:rRNA from 1 species
AUUGAACGCUGGCGGCAUGCCUUACACAUGCAAGUCGAACGGCAGCACGGGUGCUUGCACCUGGUGGCGAGUGGCGAACGGGUGAGUAAUACAUCGGAACGUACCUUAUCGUGGGGGAUAACGCAGCGAAAGCUGUGCUAAUACCGCAUACGCCCUGAGGGGGAAAGCGGGGGAUCGAAAGACCUCGCGCGAUUAGAGCGGCCGAUGCCUGAUUAGCUUGUUGGUGGGGUAAAAGCCCACCAAGGCGACGAUCAGUAGCUGGUCUGAGAGGACGAUCAGCCACACUGGGACUGAGACACGGCCCAGACUCCUACGGGAGGCAGCAGUGGGGAAUUUUGGACAAUGGGGGCAACCCUGAUCCUGCAAUGCCGCGUGAGUGAAGAAGGCCUUCGGGUUGUAAAGCUCUUUUGUCAGGGAAGAAACACGGGCUCUAACACAGUCCGGGAAUGACGGUACCUGAAGAAUAAGCACCGGCUAACUACGUGCCAGCCGCCGCGGUAA